AUACUUACCUGGCAGGGGAGACACCUUGAUCAUGAAGGAGGUUUUCCCAGGGUGAGGCUCAUCCAUUGCACUGCUGACCCCUACGAUUUCCCCAAAUGUGGGAAACUUGACUGCAUAAUUUGUGGUAGUGGGGGACUGCGUUCACGCUUUCCCCUG